GUAUGCCUAGAUAUCCUAAAGACACCUGAUCCCAUCUGAUCCUGGAAGUUAAGCAGGGUCAGCCUUUGUUAGUACUUUGAUUUUUUGUGUGUCAGGAGCAACUUAAGAAAUUGCAAGUC
rnacentral:rRNA from 11 species